AGUAACGGCGAGUGAAGAGGAAAGAGCUCAAAGUUGGAACCUGUUUGGCUUAGCUAAACCGGAUUGUAAACUGUAGAAGUGUUUUCCAGACACGCCUGGUAAAAAAGUCCUUUGGAACAGGGCAUCAUAGAGGGUGAGAAUCCCGUCUUUGGCCAGAGCUGUUGUCUUUUGUGAUACAUUUUCAAAGAGUCAGGUUGUUUGGGAAUGCAGCCUAAAUUGGGUGGUAAAUCUCACCUAAAGCUAAAUAUUUGCGAGAGACCGAUAGCGAACAAGUACCGUGAGGGAAAGAUGAAAAGAACUUUGAAAAGAGAGUUAAACAGUAUGUGAAAUUGUUAAAAGGGAACCGUUUGGAGCCAGACUGGCUUGACUGUAAUCAAUCUAGGCUUCGGCCUGGAUGCACUUGCGGUUUAUGCCUGCCAACGACAAUUUUUUUUGAGGGAAAAAACUAUUAGGAAUGUGGCCCCCCUCGGGGGGUGUUAUAGCCUUUUAGAAAAUACCUUGAAUUGGAUUGAGGAACGCAGUGAAUGCCUUUUUAAGGCAAGAUUGCUGGGCGCUUUCGCUAAUAAAUGCUAGAAUUUCUGCUUUGGGUGGUGCUAGUGUUUAAAGGAGAAACUCGCUUGGUAUA
rnacentral:rRNA from 1 species